AGUGAACGCUGGCGGUAGGCCUAACACAUGCAAGUCGAACGGCAGCACAGUAAGAGCUUGCUCUUACGGGUGGCGAGUGGCGGACGGGUGAGGAAUACAUCGGAAUCUACUUUUUCGUGGGGGAUAACGUAGGGAAACUUACGCUAAUACCGCAUACGACCUACGGGUGAAAGCAGGGGAUCUUCGGACCUUGCGCGAUUGAAUGAGCCGAUGUCGGAUUAGCUAGUUGGCGGGGUAAAGGCCCACCAAGGCGACGAUCCGUAGCUGGUCUGAGAGGAUGAUCAGCGACACUGGAACUGAGCCACGGUCCAGACUCCUACGGGAGGCAGCAGUGGGGAAUAUUGGACAAUGGGCGCAAGCCUGAUCCAGCCAUACCGCGUGGGUGAAGAAGGCCUUCGGGUUGUAAAGCCCUUUUGUUGGGAAAGAAAAGCAGCAGGUUAAUACCCCGCUGUUCUGACGGUACCCAAAGAAUAAGCACCGGCUAACUUCGUG
rnacentral:rRNA from 1 species